UCGUUAUAGUAGUAUAUCCCUGAUCUAUAUUGUGCUCCCACGUCUCCACCCUGAAAAAAAUUAUAAAAAAAAGUACUCAUUGAUUGAGGUAAAAAGACGAACACUUAGUGUGAAUUUUAAGCAAAGUCGAGAUACCUGACGAUUGAGAGUGGUGGGAUCAUGGCGGGACCAGAAAAGAGAGAGGAGAUUAACGUAAGGACAGAUUUGAGGGUCGAAUUGGACCCGAACCACCUCGACGUGGUUUGUUGAACCAGUGCAUACCAGUUUGUAAUUCGGGUCAUGAACAUGACCUUGGG
rnacentral:lncRNA from 1 species